UACAGAGGUCCCAAGCGUUGUUCGGAUUCACUGGGCGUAAAGGGUGCGUAGGUGGCCAGGUAAGUUUGGUGUGAAAUUUCGGAGCUUAACUCCGAAACUGCAUUCGAUACUGCGGUGCUUGAGGACUGGAGAGGAGACUGGAAUUCAUGGUGUAGCAGUGAAAUGCGUAGAGAUCAUGAGGAAGACCAGUGGCGAAGGCGGGUCUCUGGACAGUUCCUGACACUGAGACACGAAGGCCAGGGGAGCAAACGGG
rnacentral:rRNA from 1 species